AAAACGACUCUCGGCAACGGAUAUCUCGGCUCUCGCAUCGAUGAAGAACGUAGCGAAAUGCGAUACUUGGUGUGAAUUGCAGAAUCCCGUGAACCAUCGAGUCUUUGAACGCAAGUUGCGCCCGAAGCCUUCGGGCCGAGGGCACGCCUGCCUGGGCGUCACGCAUCGCGUCGCCCCCC
rnacentral:rRNA from 1 species